AUUGAACGCUGGCGGCAGGCCUAACACAUGCAAGUCGAACGAGUGGCGGACGGGUGAGCAAUGUCUGGGAAACUGCCCGAUGGAGGGGGAUAACUACUGGAAACGGUAGCUAAUACCGCAUACCUUCGGAUGUGUCCAGAUGGGAUUAGCUAGUGGGUGGGGUAAAGUCGUACCUAGGCGACGAACCCUAGCUGGUCUGAGAGGAUGACCAGCCACACUGGAACUGAGACACGGUCCAGACUCCUACGGGAGGCAGCAGUGGGGAAUAUUGCACAAUGGGCGAAAGCCUGAUGCAGCCAUGCCGCGGGUAUGAAGAAGGCCUUCGGGUUGUAAAGUACUUUCAGCGGGGAGGCGUUACCCACAGAAGAAGCACCGGCUAACUCCGUGCCAGCCGCCGCGGUAAUUC
rnacentral:rRNA from 1 species